rnacentral:rRNA from 1 species
AGGUCUUGACAUCCUCCUGACCGGUCUAGAGAUAGGCUUUCCCUUCGGGGCAGGAGUGACAGGUGGUGCAUGGUUGUCGUCAGCUCGUGUCGUGAGAUGUUGGGUUAAGUCCCGCAACGAGCGCAACCCCUAUUGUUAGUUGCCAUCAUUAAGUUGGGCACUCUAGCGAGACUGCCGGUAAUAAACCGGAGGAAGGUGGGGAUGACGUCAAAUCAUCAUGCCCCUUAUGACCUGGGCUACACACGUGCUACAAUGGUUGGUACAACGAGUCGCAAGCCGGUGACGGCAAGCUAAUCUCUUAAAGCCAAUCUCAGUUCGGAUUGUAGGCUGCAACUCGCCUACAUGAAGUCGGAAUCGCUAGUAAUCGCGGAUCAGCACGCCGCGGUGAAUACGUUCCCGGGCC